rnacentral:rRNA from 1 species
UAACCGUAUAGGGGAGCCGAAGGGAAACCGAGUCUUAACUGGGCGUUAAGUUGCAGGGUAUAGACCCGAAACCCGGUGAUCUAGCCAUGGGCAGGUUGAAGGUUGGGUAACACUAACUGGAGGACCGAACCGACUAAUGUUGAAAAAUUAGCGGAUGACUUGUGGCUGGGGGUGAAAGGCCAAUCAAACCGGGAGAUAGCUGGUUCUCCCCGAAAGCUAUUUAGGUAGCGCCUCGUGAACUCAUCUUCGGGGGUAGAGCACUGUUUCGGCUAGGGGGUCAUCCCGACUUACCAACCCGAUGCAAACUGCGAAUACCGAAGAAUGUUAUCACGGGAGACACACGGCGGGUGCUAACGUCCGUCGUGAAGAGGGAAACAACCCAGACCGCCAGCUAAGGUCCCAAAGUCAUGGUUAAGUGGGAAACGAUGUGGGAAGGCCCAGACAGCCAGGAUGUUGGCUUAGAAGCAGCCAUCAUUUAAAGAAAGCGUAAUAGCUCACUGGUCGAGUCGGCCUGCGCGGAAGAUGUAACGGGGCUAAACCAUGCACCGAAGCUGCGGCAGCGACGCUGAUGCGUUGUUGGGUAGGGGAGCGUUCUGUAAGCCUGUGAAGGUGGCCUGUGAGGGUUGCUGGAGGUAUCAGAAGU